AGAGGAAGAGGGUAGCAUGUUAAUUAUAGAAAUUGAUUGUAGUGGCAUAAAUCUAAUUGGAAUAUAUACAUAUAGGUGUCUAAAGCAUCAAAUUAAAUGGUAGCAAAUACAUACUUAGAUUUAAACAACAUUUAAUUAUCAAGUUGAAUUAUACCUUUAACAUUUGAAAUAUUAUUCAUUAACAAAUUUUACUUUACAUAUUAAUAUAACUCAAUUAUACUAGUGUAUAUAUAUAUAAUGAUUCAUCAUCAAGUUUAUA
rnacentral:lncRNA from 1 species